rnacentral:rRNA from 1 species
GAUGAACGCUGGCGGCGUGCCUAAUACAUGCAAGUCGAGCGAACAGACGAGGAGCUUGCUCCUUUGACGUUAGCGGCGGACGGGGGAGUAACACGUGGAUAACCUACCUAUAAGACUGGGAUAACUUCGGGAAACCGGAGCUAAUACCGGAUAACAUUAUGAACCGCAUGGUUCAACAGUGAAAGACGGUCUUGCUGUCACUUAUAGAUGGAUCCGCGGCGCAUUAGCUAGUUGGUAAGGUAACGGCUUACCAAGGCAACGAUGCGUAGCCGACCUGAGAGGGUGAUCAGCCAGACUGGAACUGAGACACGGUCCAGACUCCUACGGGAGGCAGCAGUAGGGAAUCUUCCGCAAUGGGCGAAAGCCUGACGGAGCAACACCGCGUGAGUGAAGAAGGUCUUCGGAUCGUAAAACUCUGUUAUUAGGGAAGAACAAAUGUGUAAGUAACUAUGCACGUCUUGACGGUACCUAAACAGAAAGCCACGGCUAACUACGUG